GGAAUAUGAAUUUAAUACCCCCAGUGCAAUGCAGUAACAUGUGCUGGUUAUUUUGAUAUUAUUUUAGUCACUUCAAAACUGUUUACAUACCAGGACUGCCAUUAUAUCACAGGUUUUGCCUAACCCAUUCUUCUAAAGGGGUUAAAAAAUGUUGGGGCAGUCCUUGCAUUUUCAGUCAUUCAAAAGGUUCAGCAAUAUUUUCAACCUAUCUUUAAUCUUUGUAAAAUGAAUGGUAAAUGUUUCUCUUGCUACAUAAUAACAACUGAGCCUGUUAAACCUGCUUACACACCUACUAUUCUUUUCUUUUUUUUUUUUUGCAAUUCCAAGGAGAUGAGAUGCCCACUUGUGCUUAAGUGAAAUGAAAUGUAUGCAGACAAAAACUGUACGGUGCUCAUUGUGUGUCGAAGUAGGCAAUGUACCAAAACAUAAUAAUACACAUCACAAAUUCCGUCAGGGAACUGCCAAGGAGCAUCGGAAUUUCCUCCCUGGCACCCCUUGGGAGGUCAGUAUAUCAGCAGCAAUAGAUGUGGUUUAUUUUGGAUGGGAUACAACCACCCAUAUAGUCGGAUGACAAGAGGUGCAAAGCACAUUAUGUGGAAAUCAUGUUCGAACAUGUCUGGUUCCUAACUGUAUUUAGCCUUUAUAAACACCAAUGUCUUCCAGAAUUCUUUCCUGAGUGUUAACGAAUAAUAGUUAU